GCCCUUAUUUGACAGGGUCGACGGGCGAUCAACAAGGCCCGUGUCCUAGGCCAACGGCCCACAUUGCACUUCGUGGACGCGUUGGCUUAUCGUCUCCCCAAGCGGGAGAGUGAACGUGGUAAUUUGUGGUAACGCGUACCCUGCC
rnacentral:snRNA from 16 species